rnacentral:rRNA from 1 species
UACCAGCACCCCGAGUGGUCGGGACGUUUAUUGGGCCUAAAGCAUCCGUAGCCGGUUCUACAAGUCUUCCGUUAAAGCCACCUGCUCAACAGAUGGGCUGCGGAAGAUACUAUGGAGCUAGGAGGCGGGAGAGGCAAGCGGUACUCGAUGGGUAGGGGUAAAAUCCGUUGAUCCAUUGAAGACCACCAGUGGCGAAGGCGGCUUGCCAGAACGCGCUCGACGGUGAGGGAUGAAAGCUGGGGGAGCAAACCGG